rnacentral:lncRNA from 1 species
AACCCCAAAAUCCUUGUUAACACAUUCGAUGCUUUGGAACACGAAGCAUUAAACGCCAUUGAAAAUUUCAACAUGGUCGGCAUCGGACCUUUAAUCCCAUCUUCUUUCUUGAACUCAAAUGACUCCUUGGAUAAUUCCUUGAGAACCGAUCUUUUUCAAUCCGGUUCAAAAGAUUACCUCCAAUGGUUAGACUCGAAACCAAAAUCGGCCGUCGUUUACGUUUCCUUCGGGAGCAUUGCAGUGUUAACGAAGCAACAAGUGGAGGAAAUCGCUCGAGCUUUAAUAUCCAGCCGGCGACCGUUUUUAUGGGUGGUGAGGAACCGGAAAGAUGGAGGCUACGAAGAGAAAGAAGAAGAUAAACUGACUUGCAGGGAAGAAUUGGAACAGUUUGGGAUGGUGGUUCCAUGGUGUUCGCAAGUGGAAGUACUGUUUCAUCCAUCGUUGGGUUGCUUCGUGACGCAUUGUGGGUGGAACUCGAGGUUGGAGAGCAUGGUGGCCGGUGUACCAGUGGUGGCUUUCCCUCAAUGGUCGGAUCAAGGGACUACUGCGAAGCUGAUUGAAGAUGUGUGGGGGAAUGGGGUAAGAGUGAGUGCUAAUGAAGAAGGGAUCGUGGAACGUGAUGAGAUCGUUAGGUGCUUGGAUUUGGUGAUGGGGGAUGAUGAGAAAGGGAUGCAAGUGAAGAAGAAUGUUGUGAAAUGGAAAGGGUUAGCGGAGAGGCCGCCAUGGAAGGUGGUUCCUUGGAUAUCAACCUUAAAGUUUUUGUGGAUGAUGUUGCUCAAGGUUGUUGCAAGUAAAUUUAUCUUUUCAUAUAAUUAUCUCCAUUUAUAUUUCGAAUUCUUAAAUCAAGAAAUAAUAUUUUUAAAAACGAUCAAAUUCCUCUUAACUGUUGUAAUAAUAAUAAUAAUAAUAAUAAUAUCAAAUUAAUGAUCUAAAAUUCGAUGGAAUGUUACAAAUAAAUUUUUAAUUUAUGUUUGUAUUAAAUUUAUGCUUAAAUUAAUUUUGGCCUAUGGUGUAAGUUUUUUUUUUAAAAUUUUAAUGGCCAAAUUUAAUUAAUAACAUCAACAAUUGAAUUUUAAAUUUUAAGUCAAACUAAGAGACUAAAAUUUAAAAAUUAAAAGUAGCAGAUUAAAUUUUUAAAAAAAUUGCAAAAGAGUACAAGAAUUGGGGGUAUACUUAAAAAAAUAUUAAAAUUUUCUUUUCUCCUCCAAUAAUAGAAUCUAAAGUUACGCACCUUUAUAAAAAUUAAAAAAGAGUUAAUUGUCCAAGAUAAAUAUUAAAUAAUAAUAUUUAUGGACUCGAGUACAUGAAAUUUAUUGUUGGUCACUUAAUUUAUCAUUUAACAAUUACUUUUGUUUUGGCUAUUGAGAAAAUUUUCUAGCCCUUAUAAUGUGUAUAUAUAUAUCUCCAUAUUAUUGGAUGUGUUUCUUUUUAUUAAAUUACAUUGCCUAAGGUUGCUUAUUGCCAUUAUGGUAAUUUGUUGCAUCAUCCCCUGACUAAUUCUUCUCAUUUUUAGUGUUAGUAUUCUCCAACUUAAAAUCUGGGUCUCAUGUUGCUUUUUGAGCAUCAUUAUACCACUCUCCUCUUCAACCCGCCGAAAAAUUCAGUAGGAGCUUCUGCUUUCGAUUCUGGAGAAGCUGCCACCCUUGAAGUCAAAAGUACCCUGUCAGCUUCCAAAGAUGCUGCCUCCUCUUGUCCUACUACAAAUUGGAUUGAGAGCACCAAAGCCAAUGAGAACACAACAAAAAAAACCUUCACAAUCUUUUUUUAUUUUCUAAAAUGGUUAAGAAAAAAAAAGUAAACAUAUAUUUUUAUUUAUGCUUAAGGUUGAAAAUGAGAUGAAAUUUAAAGAGUUUAAAAUGACAUAUUUUGGGUGAAUUUAGGGGUGGUUGACUAGUCUAGUGCCUAAUAACCAUACACGACAAAAAUACAUAUAAUUUCUCUCCACAUUUUUAAUGGUCAUGUUUGUCACAAUUUUUGGUGGUUUAAAUUUACUUCUUUUUGUUUCACUUGAAUACGUUGUGGGUGAUCGUUUAAAUUUUUUUAUUUUAUAAUUUUCACAUAUUUUUUUCAUUUAUUUAAAAUUUCAACCAAACAAAUUUUCUCAAUUUUUUUUCUACUUUUAGGAAAACAAAAAGAAAAAGAAAUCUUUAAUUUCUGAAACUAAAUAUACCCUAAACCUUUGCCUCCGACUCAUAAGAUAUCAAGAAUAAGAUAAUUAUUUGAUACACAUGAAAUGAAAUUUUUUAUUAAGUUGGGAUUUUGCCUCUUAUCAUAUAUAUAUAUAUAUAUAUAUAUAUAUAUAAUUUUUUGAAUAUAAAUUAAAAAACAAAUAUUAAAAUCCCAACUCGAUUUAUGAAAUAAAAACCUUUCACCGUCAUACCGAACAUUUCCCCUCGUUGUAUCACAAUAAUCUUUGUAAUCAUAAUGACAAAAGAAAGAAAAAGCUGUGGGGUAUGAUAUUCACUACCCUCCAAUUAUGAGACUCAUAACAGAGGGGAAUUAAGAAAAAAAAAUUUUAGAGUCGAAAUUAAAUAGUAAUUUUUACGGUAGUAAAAAUGUAAAUUUUAAAGGAUUAAAUCAAAAUUUUAUUGUUUAAAAAAAAGCUAAAGUGCAACUUUCCUUUUACUAAUUUAAAAUUUUAAAAAUUUCUAAAAAUUCUAAAAAAUAAAUGAUAAUAGAAUAAUUUUAAAAUCUUUGUCAUAUACGCCAACUUGAGUUUUUGCGUCAAAUAUUUCGUGCUAUCUGCAUAUCCGCUCAUUUCUUGACACAUUGCAUAAUAAUUAUAACUACGCCGUCACCACAAAAUCUUUUAUAUUCGGUUCUACAAUUGCUUUUAACUUCGGUCACAAACAAAAUUUUUUUUCUUAGUUAUUAAUAAUAAAAGUGGAUUAUUUUAUUACAAAAUUAAUUUAUGUUAUAUUUUCGUUGUAUAAUAAUUAUAUCUACAUAAAAAAUAAUCGAUUAAAUUUCAGAUUAGGUAAAAUUUAUUUCCAAAAUUACUUAACAUAAUUCAUAAAAAUACUUCACAUUAUCAAUGCGUCAACUUAGUUAAAUGUCAAACUUAAAAAAAUGUAUAAUGUGAACAUGGCUAAAAAUUUUCUUUUUUAGAUAAAACCUUAAAAUAAUAUUUUAUGGAUUUUUACUUAUAUAAUAUAAAAAAUUGAAAUUAAUAACUGAAAUGGCAUGCCCAUGAGAUUAUUUACCAAAAUGGUAUGUUUACUAUGGUGUUUUACUGGUGCCGCUUGUCAAAUUAGCGGUACCAGAUUGAAAUGUAAUGAUCUAAAGUAUUUAGGGACCUGAUAUGCAAAUUUUUCAUUUUGAGUGGUUGUUGGAGAAAAAAGUGAAAUGGUGUCGGCUGUAGUAGUGUUGUGUAACUAAACCUUAAAUGUGGCUAAUUUCCUUGCAAGCCCUCUUUAUUUAUUAUUUUCUUUUUAUUCCCCUUCCACUCAUUACAUUGUGUUUAAACAAACCCUUAACCUAUUUUUGUAGUUAAAUAAGCCCUUAACUUGAUUUUAACUCAUAAAAUCUCUUUAUUUUAAUAUUAAAGUAAAUAUGUUUUACCCAUAUUAAAGGGCUUUUUAGUAUUUUAACCCUGCUAGACUAUAUGUUGUUGAACCUGACACCUACAUUGCAGAAAUUGUUUGAUUAUUUUCAAUGCAUAAGAACCAAUGAAAACAUAGAUGGAAGGCUAAUAUACUAAAAAAUGCUUAAACUAAUACACUUUGUUUAAACAAGCUUUUAUACUGUUUUUGUAGUUAAAUAGGCCCUCAAACUAUGAUUUUUACUCAUGAAAAUCCUAAAUUUUAAUAUUAAAGUAAAACUAUUUAAAAAAUAUAUAAACUAAUUCGCAUUUUAUGUUGAUAUGAAUUUGAUGAGAAUAGUUUAUUAAAUAAAAAAAUAAAAAUUUAAAAUUUGUUGAGAGUGCUUAUAUACAUGAUAUGCUUAGUUAUUAUUCUGAAAUUUCUGAUUACUUUUUUAGAUUUUAUGUUUAUGUUAAAUUGUAUAUAAUUUUUAUUGCAUCAACAAGAAAUUAAGAUAAGAGCUUGAAAUUCAAAAUAUAUUUACUUUAAUAUUAAAAUAAAGGGCUUUUAUGAGUAAAACCCAUAGGUUAAGAGCUUAUUUAACUACAAAAAUAAGUUAAGAGCUUGUUUAAACACAAUAUAAUGAGUUGAAGAGGAAUAAAAAGAAAAUAAUAUAUAACGAUGGUUUACAAGGCAAUUAGCCACAUUUAAGCGGCACCCUUUCACUUCUUUUUCCGGUAGUCACUUAAAAUGGGAAUUUGCACUUCAAAUCUCUAAAUACUUUAAAUUAUUAUAUUUCAGUCUGAUAUCACCUGACACCAACAAAACAGUACAAUAACAGACAUACCAUUUUGAUGUAUAUAUAUUCGGUUUUGCUAUUGUUUUUAACUUCGGCUUUUAAUUUGUCACAAAAUUUUUGGAUAAAUUUUUAAAAAAAUUAAUUAUAUUUUAAUUUAACAUAUAGAAAUUAAUGAGUCCCUACCACAAGAAUGUGUGUGAUGACUGUUUUUCCACGAAUUUGGAAUCUUCAAAUUCGUCAGCCCAAACGUCUCCCUUAAAGUGCUUCUCAUCAUUUAUAAAAACACUUCGAUUUCGUUUCUUAGUUACUCCAAAUCCGACGUUCGUAAAAAAAGACCAGGUGAACUACCUACGCGCCGCCGUCACCACCAUGUCACAGCCUCAUUUCCUCCUAGUGACCUUCCCUGCACAAGGCCACAUAAACCCAACCUUACAAUUUGCCAAGCAUCUUAUACGUAUUGGCGUACGUGUAACUUUCAUCACCUGCAUCUCCGCUCACCGCCGCAUGAGCAAAGUCCCCACUGCUCAAGGCCUAACGUUUUUACCCUUUUCCGAUGGCUACGACGACGAGUGUCAACCCGGCGAUGACAUAGACCAUUACCUAUCUGAAUUGAGGCGACGAGGCAAAGAAGCCGUCUCCGAGUUUAUAACAAGCAGUGAAAACGAAGGCAAACCCGUCACUUGCAUUGUCUACACCCUGUUCAUCCAUUGGGCCUCGGAGGUGGCGCGUAAACAUCACAUCCCGACAGCUUUACUUUGGAUUCAACCCGCCACCGUUUUCGACAUCUAUUAUUUUUACUUCAACGGACACGAAUCCACCUUUAAAGCUCAAGCUGAUGAAAAAAACCCCAAGCGUUCAAUAAAAUUACCAGGUCUGCCGCUACUCGCCACCCGCGACCUUCCGUCGUUCCUAACCGCUUUAAACGUUUACCGUUGGGCACUGUCGUUGAUCCAAGAACAAAUGGACGUCGUCGCUGAUGAAUCCAACCCCAAAAUCCUUGUUAACACCUUCGAUGCUUUGGAACACGAAGCAUUAAACGCCAUUGAAAAUUUCAUCAUGGUCGGCAUCGGACCUUUAAUCCCAUCUUCUUUCUUGAACUCAAAUGACUCCUUGGAUAAUUCCUUGAGAACCGAUCUUUUUCAAUCCGAUUCAAAAGAUUACCUCCAAUGGUUAGACUCGAAACCAAAAUCGGCCGUCGUUUACGUUUCCUUCGGGAGCAUUGCGGUGUUAACGG